GCACUGCUGAGGAGUUCAAAACAGGACGAAAGGGCCGACCAGUAC
rfam:Schistosoma curassoni strain Dakar, Senegal genome assembly, scaffold: SCTD_contig0001269